rnacentral:rRNA from 1 species
GAAUAGGACCCUGUCCUCCUAUUUUCAGUUGGUUUGCCGCGAGGACCAGGGUAAUGAUUAAUAGGGAUAGUUGGGGGCAUUAAUAUUUAAUUGUCAGAGGUGAAAUUCUUGGAUUUAUGAAAGAUUAACUUCUGCGAAAGCAUCUGCCAAGGAUGUUUUCAUUAAUCAAGAACGAAAGUUAGGGGAUCGAAGACGAUCAGAUACCGUCGUAGUCUUAACCAUAAACGAUGCCGACCAGCGAUUAGGAGACGUUGAAUACAAAACACCACCAUGCGCAUUGCGGUCGUCUUUGGUGUCGCUCACAAGGCGGCACCGGGGCGGCUUAGCUCGCAUGGCACC